CACACCCAGGGGUGGUGGAAGCUACAGAAUCACAGCUAGAAGGAAGACCUGCCUAUGAAAAACCAAAGAGCUGAUAAAAAGGAGCUGGUAUUAAAAUGCCCACCCAGCAUGACAUACAACAGAGCCAGUGCAGUUUUUACUUGUGCCAGUCCAGCUCUGAGACGCCAAGGAGAUAGGUAGAAUUAUUCCAUAUUUCCAUCCACAUUUGCAUUUGCAGCAAAAAUCUGUUUUCAGACAGGUAUUUUAACAAGACUUUAUUUCAGUCAGCUGGUUUUUGUCUGCAAAUAGCAAGAAUCAUGCUUUGGAGCAGGGCAAGGGGAAAGAACAUCUUGCAACAUGAUUCUCUGGGCCAAAUUUGACAUGUACAGCUCCCACUAAGACCCAAAUAUAGGCAACAUUUGUUUCCAGACAACAAAGAGUGUGUCCGUUGUUACUGCAACAGAAAAAGGUGUGAGCUUUUGAACAUUAUUCCACUGGUCAGGCGUGCCAGCUCAACCUGUGUCUGCAGAUGAGAAAGAAUUCCACUAAAUCACUUAUUUUCUAUUUCCAGAAUCGUAGGUGUUGCAACAUAAGGCACUGGGGGUAGUGGACAGAUGAAAACAGGGUAUCUGCUAAAGAGAAAGCUAUAUCCACACAUGGAGCAAGAUGCUCAUCUUUGGCCCUGCUACACUGUAGGCUUGGUAACUUCUGCCUCCAUGUUGCUCACAGCUGCAAGUGAGGGGUCUAAGAUCUUCAGAGUAGGCCUGGGGGUGAGUUUUUGCACCACUGAUUAGAAA
rnacentral:lncRNA from 1 species